UUGAGAAAGGCUGCCCUCUUCAAGUCACGCUUUACAUUCAAGGUCAUCUGACUGGUGCCACCUUGGAAGCUGGCCUGAUUCUGUGGAGGACGCUCAGUGAUAACACCCUGCAAGUCAGCUGACUGCGGUGUCAUAGCGGCUGCUUUCUGCAUGAUCACAGCUGCCGGAGCUCCGGCUUCUGCAGGCUCUGUAGCCUCCUGGUCGCAGCCCGGCCCAGGGCGGCAGAGCUCCAGAGCGCCGCUGUCCUGCCUGCACGAGGAGCACUGGCCUUUGUCUAGCCCGGAGCAGAGGGGCGGUCUGAACGUACACGAUGGGCUUCUAACUUGGCAGUGAGCAGGGCCGCUCGGGGGAGUCCGGCUGGCUUCCCGCCACCCGCGGGCCUGGCUGGGGGCUUUGUAAGCCGCGCUGCCGUACCUGCAGGAACGAAGGCUAGGAGGACAAAGCAGACGAUGCUCGCGGCGGUUUGUCCAGCCGGGGCCUGCGCAGGCAACUCUACAGAGCCGCAGCUGUGUGAUCCCAGCUCAGAGCGCAGGCUGCUCACGGGGCUGGCGCCGCCCCCCACUCUGCAGUUAGAACUCAGUGCAGAGGGGACACCAGGCUCACCGGCCCAGCCAAUCCCAGGCCCCUCUGGGUGCGGGGACAGCUGCCGAUUAGCAGGGACACAGGAGCCACGGAGCGGUGAGCUGCUGCGGCUGAGCCUGGGAGGACAGUCUGACUUCGGUCAUCUGAUGGCUUCUGCUCACGUUCCUAAAUAACGGUGCUUGCUAAGAGCACAGUGUCUGGACUGGGCUGCCUUCUGUGCAGUCUUCAUCUGCUCUGGCUGGGAAUCAGGGCGCCAGGUGAGCCUGCUCAGCACUGGCUAGUCUGCGUGGGGCUGCACAGCUAGGACGGCCACACGGUGACACAGAAGCAAGCAGAAAGCACCACUUUGUCUUCUCUUGCAGUGUUAGCGGCACAGAACUUCCUGGCAGUGAUGCCCUCCUGCGCGUGUGUGUGUGUGUGCGCGUGAGUGUGUGUAUGUGUGCGCGUGAGUGUGUGUAUGUGUGUGUCUGUCUUAUUCAUCUACUCAAAAAGCCUAACAGAUACCAUCCGGGAUGUGGUUUUUAAUGAUUUGGAAAAAAAGGCAGCCCGUGGAGACAGCGAUUUGAGACAGCAGCGCAUUUAGGUUAUUUGCAGUUUGAAACACUGUGGUUUGUGAAGCCGAGCCUAAGGGGCAAGUUCGGUAACUGAGAAAGAGAUCGUAGAUGAAGAAAUAAAAAUGACGAACGUGGUGGCGGCUCUGAGGAAGGACUGCCAGAGCAUCGGUCCAUGGAUGGCAAUUUCGCGAGGCUGAGACUGAAUAAUUCAUAGAUUGAAAUUACCCUGCUUUCACCUUUCUAUUUAAACUGGCAUGAUCUGAAUCUCUAAUAAAUUUUCAAGAUGAAGUGAAACGCCAAUUUGAAUCUGAAGAGCUUUUAAAACCAGAUGCUGCAUCCCUGAACCUCCUGGUAUAUUCCACAAUUAUCCUGUGAGAACCGCUCUUCAUCACCAAGCACCAUUACCAGGGAAAAUUACUGUGAUCACAAUAGCAACAACAGGAUACCAUCAAAGGAUCUCUAAUUUACCUAAUUUGCUAAGACUGUGUGGGUUUAAUGCCCAUUGUAUGUCACCAUGCCUGGCACCCGUGGAUUUAUCUCACACCGGGACAAAAAUGAGACAGCGUGUAUAAUAAAUAUCUUGAUUCUGAAAGCUUAGCAAAGAACAUCCUCUUAGGUUACAACAUCUCUUUCAUCUGGUUUUAUUUUUUUCCAAUGCCUAUUCCCCAAAUGUCUGUUUGGGGGAAGUGGUAAGCCUGUCAUGGAUUUGGGGUUGAUUCUUUGAUACAGAAGAGUAUGGACUUGUUAAUUUACACGCCCUCUUUAUUUUAAUGUAUGUGAGCAUGUCCUCACCAGAAGGAAGGACAGAUCCCGUUCUGGGAGGGCAGCUUAAACAUGUGGCCAGAGUGAAACGUGCCUUUCUUUUUUUUUUUUUGAAACCCUGUCUGCUUUCAGGUCAGAGAGCCUCUCAGGGAAUUAAAAUCCUGGGGGAUGUGUUUAAAAAAACAAAACAAAAUAUCUCAGCUUGAAAGGCUUGAGAGACACAUACAGUAAUAACUCGGUGCAGCUUUUAUUAAAAGCAUCUCUGUUCCAUCGAGUGAUUGAAUGAAGCUCUGCCACGGCUUUGGCUGUGCUUGCACCUGCUCAUUCUCUGGGAAUCUGACCCAAAGAGAACUUUUCUGACAGGCUGUGUGGCCCAUUGCAGGGUGACUAUGCCACCCAAGAAAGUGGCAUGGCUCGUAAGACCUCACUGCGAACACACUGCGGUCACCUAACAGGCACAGUGAGUUCUGGAAUUCCACUCUGAGUACAUGAAGACGGGCUGUGAGUUCCUGCUAGCCCAGGGAUUUACGCUUUGAUGAUCUGAGCCCCUUAGCUCUGCUGUUUACCCACGGGUUCUCAGGGCUGUCCUGCUUCCGCACCAGCACCCCCAUCAGAGGAGCACAGUGCCUGGCCCUGUGUGGUGUUUGUCAUCAUCCUGUCAGCACCCGGGGCCGGAGUCCUUGAACUCAGCUGGACCUCCACCGAGGGGCCGUCUGACAGAUCCCAGCAGACAGCGCUCUACUCCUACAUCCAAACGUGCUAAUCCUGACGGCCCCCCAGUACAGCGCCCCCUCCUAAGGUCUAAAGGCCCCCAGUACGAGCAGAUCUCAGUGAUGGCUGUUCCCUCCUAGGGGAGGCACCAGGUCUCCUCAGGCGUCCCCUGGGAGAUGACCCUUGUUUUCCUUUGGAAAUCUGUAUUACAAAAUCAAGUCAUGGAACAGUUACAAGAAUAACUAAAAUUUAAUUUCAAAAAGAUGGAGAGGCAGAGGGCCUUUUCCUUGAGGAGGUCAAAGGCAGCAUUGUGGAAUAUUCGUUUUCUAGCCCAUCUCCUCCUGAUCCUGUCCGUCCCGCAGAGCACAGCAGAUGCCUGCGUAUCUACCAGGGAAAUAAAACCCUCACUGGGGAGGAAGGGCCGCCCUGGGCCUCAGUCUGGAGAGCCGUGCAUCACCGGGUCCCGCUCUGCCCUCCGCUGUCAUUCCCUGUCCAGCCCUCGGCACAGAGCAAGAAGUAGCCAGUCGAGGGGAUGUAUCCGCCCAGAGUCUGUGCGUUCCCUGCUUCUCGAACAUGCGUAGGGUAUUGGGACCCUGCAGUCCUGAGUUCCAGCACAAACAUCCCCGAACCUCAAGAGCCGUGUGGCCAAGGCUGAACGGUGCGGUCCGGUGUGCGGGGCGGUCAGGAGCGCAGCGUGGUCCAGUGUGCGGUGUGGUACGCGGGGCAUCCGGUGCACGCUCCCAGCCCUGGGAGGGGGCAGGGCAGGCCAUCCGGGAGCGAUCUCAGACGGAUCACUGGGGACCCAAGGUGAGGAGGAAGGCAGGCUUCCCAAGAGCACCUGCAGGGCAGCAAGCAUCCUUGAUUCAACUCUGGUCUCAGGAAGGCUUACUUGUCCAGGUAAGAGAGUAGAGUUUAUCUUAUUUAGCAACGUGCUGGCCUGACUUGUACCGUGAGAGGUCUGGCGCUGUGGUGGGGGAGGUAUCCGUUUGUGCUCUGGGCCCGAGCUCGGCAGGUGUUGGGUCCGACCCAGCCCGAGUGGGCUUUCCCAGCGAGGUCUCCGUUCUCGGAGAAAGUGACUGGUUGGUGGUAAUUGUAUUAGUGGAGAAAUAAAUCUUUACUGUCAGUUGCAAAGGGAGGAAGCCCACUAUAGUCUAAAAUUAGGAAGCCCAUUCUUCUGUUGAAGUUUUUAAUGCAAAAACAUUUUUAAAAUAAGCAAGUUAUAAAAGUAUGAAAGUUCAGCUUUAGUGUUUACUAUGUUCUAGCAAGUGAAAAUAGUUCUAUCUACCUCUGUCCUGCUCCUGGCACAUCAGAGAGGUGAGCCGGGGUGUGUGUCUGGCUGAGCCGGGGCGCCGGCGGCCUGCGGGAGCGGUCGGGUGUCACUCGGCAUUCCCGCGGCUCAGGAUGUGGGUCCAAAGUGGCCACUUGAUGCAGCCACCCAAAGUCACCACCUCUCUUUCACUGCACUGAAUUCAAUGAUCAGUACUGAAUGGGUGAUUUUAGAAAGGUUAAGAAAUUAGUACACCAUGGAGGGACAGUCAUUGUUUCAUAAAAUAAAGCCUGGAAUAAACGUGACCAUUUUCUCAACUGAAUUUCCUAAGAAAAUUCAGGGGACAAAAAAAAAGAGACUUGGGGAAUGUGGAGACAGAUGUGUCUGGGACUGAGCACGGGUUCAGCUCGCAGUAAAUGACAGACCUGUGGAUGGCAUUCAGGCCCCAUGACAAACCCCAGGGCGGAUACCGAGCCUGGAGCCACACAGCCAGGCUUGGACUCCUGAUUCUGCUGCUCACCAUCUGUGUGGUCUCUGGUGACUGCUAACCCCUCUUUGGGUGUCGGUCUCCUCAUACGUAAGGUAGAAACAAUACUGCCCUCCUCAUAGGUUAGGAAUAAGGAUUAACUUAGUAUUUGCGAAACACUUAGGAAAAUGUCCAGCACGUAGUAGGUGCUGUGGAAGCCUUACAGAGAGGUUAUUGACUUGUUCCCCAACCACAAAGUGAAUUAAUAAAACAUCCACCACCCAACACGGAUAUUCAAACAUCAGGCAUAUUUCUGAAAAUUACACAUUGCCCAAGAGCUGAUUUGGGCCAAAAUAAAAAUAUAAAAUUUGCAUCAAUUACAUCUCUAAAGGAGAAAAAAAAAAGGAUCUUAAAAAAAAAAAUCCUACCGGUAUAGUUACCCUGGUAUCAUAAGUUUUUGUCCUGCCUCUUUUGCAUUUUGUAUUUUGCUUCCCUUUGUCACUCUAUUCCAGUCGGCCUGUACUCCUGACCAGGGAGUCUGUCAGGGGAGCCCAGCACUCCAGGGAGAGGCCAGUGCCACCUACACACCACAGUCCUCUUCCGUGAGCAUCGUUCCCAAAGCACAUACUGGAUGAAAGAAACGGGAAAAAGCAGAGGCAUAGAAAGGAAAAUAAACCUCGACCAUACUUCUGCCUCUCUUGACACUGACUGUGUGUGAUACAAUCAUGCAUAUAUGUAAAUAAAUCCCAAAACUUGGACUGCUUUGAAACCUACCAUUUAUGAGUAUAUCAAGAGUACAUUUCCAAAC